rnacentral:rRNA from 1 species
AUUGAACGCUGGCGGCAUGCCUUACACAUGCAAGUCGAACGGCAGCACGGGAGCAAUCCUGGUGGCGAAUGGCGAACGGGUGAGUAAUAUAUCGGAACGUGCCCAGUCGUGGGGGAUAACGUAGCGAAAGCUACGCUAAUACCGCAUACGAUCUAUGGAUGAAAGCGGGGGAUCGCAAGACCUCGCGCGAUUGGAGCGGCCGAUAGCAGAUUAGGUAGUGGGUGAGGUAAAGGCUCACCAAGCCGACGAUCUGUAGCAGGUCUGAGAGGACGACCAGCCACACUGGGACUGAGGCACGGCCCAGGCUCCUACGGGAGGCAGCAGUGGGGAAUUUUGGACAAUGGGCGCAAGCCUGAUCCAGCAAUGCCGCGUGCAGGAUGAAGGCCUUCGGGUUGUAAACUGCUUUUGUACGGAACGAAACGGCGAGCUCUAAUACAGUUUGCUAAUGACGGUACCGUAAGAAUAAGCACCGGCUAACUACGUGCCAGCAGCCGCAGUAA